rnacentral:rRNA from 1 species
GGACGAACGCUGGCGGCGUGCUUAACACAUGCAAGUCGAACGCUGAAGCCUGGCUUUUGUUGGGUGGAUGAGUGGCGAACGGGUGAGUAACACGUGAGUAACCUGCCCCCUUCUUUGGGAUAACGCCCGGAAACGGGUGCUAAUACUGGAUAUUCACUGGUCUUCGCAUGGGGGUUGGUGGAAAGGGUUUUCUGGUGGGGGAUGGGCUCGCGGCCUAUCAGCUUGUUGGUGGGGUGAUGGCCUACCAAGGCUUUGACGGGUAGCCGGCCUGAGAGGGUGACCGGUCACAUUGGGACUGAGAUACGGCCCAGACUCCUACGGGAGGCAGCAGUGGGGAAUAUUGCACAAUGGGCGCAAGCCUGAUGCAGCGACGCCGCGUGAGGGAUGGAGGCCUUCGGGUUGUGAACCUCUUUCGCUCAUGGUCAAGCCGCAACAAUGGUUGUGGUGAGGGUAGUGGGUAAAGAAGCGCCGGCUAACUAC